CUUGGCACUGGUGGGGAAGGAGAGGCCCUACAGCCACUUCGAUCUGAAUUGUGAAAAAUUUGCCAUGGAGCUCCGCUAUGAAGUUUCCUCUCAUGCUCAGUGUUUAUUCCCUCUCGUUGAAGGCCGUUGUGGCCGUCUAACUGAGCAUCUCAGAAUCAUCACGGAGUGGCUUUGGGAGGAGGAUCCCCUUGAGGAGCUGGUUGAUAGUCUUGGUAUGGGAAUCAGUGAUGUUUGAGGGACUACGAUGCGGGAAAUGGAAAGAGAUCCUGUCCAGAGUGAUCAUUCCCAGCUAUUAUUGUCAUACUGGUGGAAGAAGGCCAUUUCCUACUGAGGAGUGACAGCAGUAGGUUCUGGUGGAUUGUAUCUGCCUUGUGUAAACUCCACAGCAACGUGGGCAGAACCCGGCCGAGCAGGUGCAUUCAGAAUACUGCCUCCCUGGUGAGUGACCAAGUUUAAUGCAGUGACAAUCCAGAGAACCAGCCAGCCCCUCGGUCCAAGUGGAGCCCACAGUGGUAUCGGAGAGAUGCCCCACACGAGGGAAGUCCAAGAGGAGAUCACAGAGCAAACUCACUUAAGAGCACCAAAAGAAAGGGUGUUGGGAUGAUCUGCCCAGGAUGGGAGAUUCCUGCUGAAAGUAGUCUAUGGACCAAACAUGAUUGCCACCCAAUGUCUCUUCUGCAGACCACAGCAACCAAAAGAAGAGAUAGAAGAAAAGGGAGUGCCCUG